GUUGGGGUGGCCGAAAAUAAGCGCUAAAUUGUAAAUUUAGAAAUGAAAUUUAUUCUCCCAUCA
rnacentral:tRNA from 1 species